AUUGAACGCUGGCGGCGUGCCUAACACAUGCAAGUCGAGCGGUAACGCGGGAGCAAUCCUGGCGACGAGCGGCGAACGGGUGAGUAAUGCUUCGGAAUCUGCCCAAUGGUGGGGAAUAACCAGCCGAAAGGUUGGCUAAUACCGCAUAAGUCCUAAGGGAGAAAGCGGGGGAUCGUAAGACCUCGCGCCGAUGGAUGAGCCGAAGUCGGAUUAGCUAGUUGGUAGGGUAACGGCCUACCAAGGCGACAAUCCGUAGCUGGUCUGAGAGGACGACCAGCCACACUGGGACUGAGACACGGCCCAGACUCCUACGGGAGGCAGCAGUGGGGAAUAUUGGACAAUGGGGGAAACCCUGAUCCAGCGACGCCGCGUGUGUG
rnacentral:rRNA from 1 species